CGCUAUCACUCCUACGGGAGGCAGCAGUGGGGAAUAUUGCACAAUGGGCGCAAGCCUGAUGCAGCCAUGCCGCGUGUAUGAAGAAGGCCUUCGGGUUGUAAAGUACUUUCAGCAGUGAGGAAGGCGGAGUCGUUAAUAGCGGCCUCGUUUGACGUUAGCUGCAGAAGAAGCACCGGCUAACUCCGUGCCAGCAGCCGCGGUAAUACGGAGGGUGCGAGCGUUAAUCGGAAUUACUGGGCGUAAAGCGCAUGCAGGCGGCCUGUUAAGUCAGAUGUGAAAGCCCGGGGCUUAACCUCGGAAUUGCAUUUGAAACUGGCAGGCUAGAGUCUUGUAGAGGGGGUAGAAUUUCAGGUGUAGCGGUGAAAUGCGUAGAGAUCUGAAGGAAUACCAGUGGCGAAGGCGGCCCCCUGGACAGAUACUGACACUCAGAUGCGAAAGCGUGGGGAGCAAACAGGAUUAGAUACCCUGGUAG
rnacentral:rRNA from 1 species